rnacentral:rRNA from 1 species
UACUGCCUUGGAGUGGGGAAGUAACGGACUGGAAACAAGCCGCUAUACCGCAUGAUGCAUCUGAGUCGCAUGGUUUUGGGUAUGCCAAACGAAUUUAUUCGCUCUGAGAUGAGCUCGCGUCUGAUUAGCUAGUUGGCGGGGUAACGGCCCACCAAGGCGACGAUCAGUAGCCGGACUGAGAGGUUGGCCGGCCACAUUGGGACUGAGACACGGCCCAGACUCCUACGGGAGGCAGCAG